GCAGUGAUGGUUCAGUGAUAGAAUGCUCACCUUUCAUGCGAGAGAACUGGGUUCGAUUCCCAGUCAAUGCA
rfam:Loxodonta africana unplaced genomic scaffold scaffold_43, whole genome shotgun sequence.